rnacentral:lncRNA from 1 species
UCCCCUAAUACAGUCACCACUGAAACAGAAGUACGGUUGAAGUAGAUUAACACUGACCAACCCAGUGUCAUAAUCUCGAACCCUCAUUUGACCAGUUGUAAUAUAUGAAAGCUACUGUUCACAAAAUCUUCUAGAAAGUCCGUGAAUACUUUAAACUCGAUAGAAGUGGAUGCGGGUGCAGUAACAGAUUCAGGUGGGGACAUGAAGUUCUCUUUUAAGGUAGUGUUAUAAUGCUCUUACAGGAGCAACUCCAAAAGUUGCUCCCACCAACAAAUGAGAAAUUUAUCCUCAUGUGUUGCACUAGUUAGUUUGCAUCCAUGGGGUUUGUCAUUUGGUUAUAGUUUACAUUCAUGGGGUUCUUUCAUCAUUCAUGUAGAAUUAUA